GCAGAGUAGGAAGAUGCGCGUCAAGUGCGAGCUGGCGGGAUGUAAGUCGGCAAGACGAAGAACAUUUAUGUUUGCGGUGCAUCUUACCGAAUCCCACUGC
rnacentral:ncRNA from 1 species